rnacentral:lncRNA from 1 species
UAUAUAUAUAUAUUAAAUAGUUUGCAAAAGAGUGGACACUGUCAUUAAAUAUAACACAUCUGUCCUUAUUCUAUUCAAUACUCUCUUUUAUGUCUAAACUCUUAUAAGUUUUUUGAAUAGGCCAAUACAUAUAAAUUAAUUAAAAAAAGAGUAUUAAAUAAUUUAGCUGCAUGCCAGAAAAAUUAGCCGGUAUCACAAAAGGAUAAGUAGCAACGUGUUAUGAAUAUAAAUAUUUAAAACAUUAUUCUCUCGCAACUUAAGCUUUUUAAGCCUCACCGAACUCAAAACAAGAAUAUUUUAAAACUCCGUUACAAUUAUUGUUUUACAUUAUAUAUACGGCAAGGAUUCUAGGAGAGUGCUCAAACUUAGAACUUAAUUUCUUUUUUGAUAUUAUGUUAAAUAAUAUCAACUAAUCAAUUUCCCGAAAAACUUAAAACUAUCAGAAAAUAAUAUUUUAUUAUUUUAUAUAUGUGUUCAACAUUUAUACGCAAUUGAUCCU